UGUGCCUCCAGAUUAUGAUGGCAAAUCACCUUGUAAAACCUGAUUCUAGAAACUCCAAGAGACCAAGAGAAUUGGAGUCUCAAUCUCAAAUGCAAGAUCAUCCAGAGAUGUCCUCUCUUGGAAAAUCAGAUUCAUCUUUCUCUGAAUGUUCUGGACUAUUUUAUAAAGAUGAAUCCCUGGAGAAAGAUUUAAGUGACAUGAGCAAGGAAAUUAAUCUAAUGUUGUCUACAUAUGCAAAGAUCUUAAGUGAGAGAGCAGCAGUUGACGCAUCUUAUGUUGAAGAGAUAGAUGGACUCUUUAGAGAAGCCAACACUAUUGAAAACUUCCUAAUACAAAAAAGAGAGUUCCUGAGACAGAGAUUUAUAGUGAUUGCAAACACACUGCAGAGUUAAAAUGUAUACUUAAAAUAAGCUGAGAAUUUAAACCUAUUAUUGUUGUAAUGAAAGAAUGACCUUUCUGCUCUGAAAGCUCUCUAGUUGUUAAAGUAAAUGUGUAUCUUAAACUAAGAAGGGGUAAUACCUUGAAUAUUAUCUAGAUUUAAAAGAUGCU